CCCCACAAACGUCCAUUUAUUUAUAAACCUACAACAUUAACCUCUCCCCUUAAAAGCUCUUGGAAACUUUCUGGUGAAAAGCAUCUCGGUUCUGUCAGAGAAACAAGCCCAGGCUGACGUCUCGUCUCCAUGUGCAUCUGCAAACCUGAUGGGGCCCUAAUCCCUCACCCAGGGACCCUCCCCUCCCUGCGCCCUCCUUCUAAGGUGUCCACCGCUGGGUGUGGGGACUCUCUGAAAGCUCUCUUAGAAAAAGUCCCAUGCUUUGAGUCAUGGUAAAAUCUGAGGGAAAUGAACGCUGCCAGAGGUUUCAGCCUCUACAUCAGCCCUUAAUCAGCCCUGCAGUUCACUGCCGCGUGAUGUCGGUCACACCGCUGUCCGGCAGGGGAGCAGGUCUCGGCACCCGCUGCUCGGCCAGAGAGGGCAGAGGGACCUGGGGAAAGUGGCCUGUCGGAGUGGGGCUCGGGCCUCGGGAAUGGGCUCCCCUGCUCCUUUCCUAAGAGUUCAAUCUUCAGCUUGUUUAUUCACCCAUUUAGUAAAUGUUUACUGGUUUCCUGUUACAGGGACCACACUAAGUGCCAGAAAUACAAUAAGUAAAAGAGAACGACCUCUGGCUCCACAGGGGCUUACAGUUCAGAGGGGGUGACAGACACUACCGAAAACGAAGGGAGCUGUGAGCUGUGAAGCAGGGGUACAUGCGCUUGACCACAUCUGGCGGCGGGGAAGCCUUCCUCUAGUAAACGAUGUCCCUCCUGUGAUCAGAAGCUUCUAGGCCGUGUACAUACCAACAGGACAGAUGGAGUAAAGGAGAGCCAGGGGGCUAAGUACAUCUUCAUUCUAGAGCAAUGGGAAGCCACCGAGAGAUGAGAACAGUGGAGCUCAACGAGGACAAAUAACUUGUCCAAGGUCACACAGAUGAGAUGAGAUUGGAACCCAGGUCUCUCGGAUUCCAAGUUCUUAGCAACAACUGGAUACUGUUGGUUCCCCGCAGGCAGGAGCCCGGUCUUUCCGCCUCUGCUCAGUUUGCUGGCGCCUGUCCACAGUCGGAGCUCCUACAGGUGACGGAUUGCUCCUCUCUGCAGGCUUCCUGUCCGCCCCCGCCCCAAUCAUAGCGACAAUCCACAGCACCUACUGCCGGCAGGGGCGUCGCAGCGCUCCACAUGCAUUGGCUCGCUGUCAUCUUCACCACGACCUGUGGAGGAGGCACUGUUACUCUCAUCCUUUUCACUUUACAGACCAGAGAAGUGAGUUCCAGAAAGGUUGAUAGCUUGGCCGAAGACACAGCAAUAAGUGACCCC
rnacentral:lncRNA from 1 species